AACUUUUAACAACGGAUCUCUUGGUUCUGGCAUCGAUGAAGAACGCAGCGAAAUGCGAUAAGUAAUGUGAAUUGCAGAAUUCAGUGAAUCAUCGAAUCUUUGAACGCACAUUGCGCCCGCUGGUAUUCCAGCGGGCAUGCCUGUUCGAGCGUCA
rnacentral:rRNA from 3 species